rnacentral:rRNA from 1 species
AUGCAAGUCGAGCGGUAACAGAAUGUAGCUUGCUACUUUGCUGACGAGCGGCGGACGGGUGAGUAAUGCCUAGGAAUCUGCCUAGUAGUGGGGGAUAACUUGCCGAAAGGUAAGCUAAUACCGCAUACGUCCUACGGGGGAAAGCAGGGGAUCACUUGUGACCUUGCGCUAAUAGAUGAGCCUAAGUCGGAUUAGCUAGUUGGUGGGGUAAAGGCCUACCAAGGCGACGAUCUGUAGCGGGUCUGAGAGGAUGAUCCGCCACACUGGGACUGAGACACGGCCCAGACUCCUACGGGAGGCAGCAGUGGGGAAUAUUGGACAAUGGGGGGAACCCUGAUCCAGCCAUGCCGCGUGUGUGAAGAAGGCCUUAUGGUUGUAAAGCACUUUAAGCGAGGAGGAGGCUCCUAUAGAUAAUACCUAUAGUGAGUGGACGUUACUCGCAGAAUAAGCACCGGCUAACUCUGUGCCAGCAGCCGCGGUAAUACGUAGGGUGCAAGCGUUAAUCGGAAUUACUGGGCGUAAAGCGUGUGUAGGCGGUUCGGAAAGAAAGAUGUGAAAUCCCAGGGCUCAACCUUGGAACUGCAUUUUUAACUGCCGAGCUAGAGUAUGUCAGAGGGGGGUAGAAUUCCACGUGUAGCAGUGAAAUGCGUAGAUAUGUGGAGGAAUACCGAUGGCGAAGGCAGCCCCCUGGGAUAAUACUGACGCUCAGACACGAAAGCGUGG